rnacentral:rRNA from 1 species
AGUUGAUACUGGCGUCCUUGAGUGCGGUUGAGGUGUAUGGAAUUCGUGGUGUAGCGGUGAAAUGCUUAGAUAUCACGAAGAACUCCGAUUGCGAAGGCAGUACACUAAGCCGCUACUGACGUUGAGGCUCGAAAGUGUGGGUAUCAAACAGGAUUAGAUACCCUGGUAGUCCACACGGUAAACGAUGAAUACUCGCUGUUGGCGAUAUAAUGUCAGCGGCCAAGCGAAAGCAUUAAGUAUUCCACCUGGGGAGUACGCCGGCAACGGUGAAACUCAAAGGAAUUGACGGGGGCCCGCACAAGCGGAGGAACAUGUGGUUUAAUUCGAUGAUACGCGAGGAACCUUACCCGGGCUUAAAUUGCACUGGACAGGCUCAGAGAUGGGCUUUUCUUCGGACCAGUGUGAAGGUGCUGCAUGGUUGUCGUCAGCUCGUGCCGUGAGGUGUCGGCUUAAGUGCCAUAACGAGCGCAACCCUUGCCUUUAGUUACUAACAGGUUAUGCUGAGGACUCUAGAGGGACUGCCAUCGUAAGAUGUGAGGAAGGUGGGGAUGACGUCAAAUCAGCACGGCCCUUACGUCCGGGGCUACACACGUGUUACAAUGGGAGGUACAGAAGGCUGCUACCCGGCGACGGGAUGCCAAUCCCCAAAACCUCUCUCAGUUCGGAUUGGAGUCUGCAACCCGACUCCAUGAAGCUGGAUUCGCUAGUAAUCGCGCAUCAGCCACGGCGCGGUGAAUACGUUCCCGGGCCUUGUACACAC